rnacentral:ncRNA from 1 species
CGACCUCAGAUCAGACGAGAUUACCCGCUAAAUUUAAGCAUAUCAAUAAGCGGUGGAAAAGAAACGAAAACGAAUUCUCCAAGUAGCGGCGAGCGAAACGAGAAAAGUCCAUACACCGAAGUCGGCGAGCAGUUGUGUUCGUCAACAGUGUGGUGUUAAAGGUGUCGUUGCAUGUGCUGAAAUCAGUUCGUAGGCUCCCUUGAUUGGGGCUUCAGAGCGGGUGCAGGACCCAUAACGAACGAUGUUUUGUGCAUGGUGUCGCGGGCUCCUAAUCGAGUCGGGUUGCUUGAGACUGCAGCCCGGGGCGGGUGGUAAAUCUCUUUUUUUUUUUUCAUAUUCGACGAGACCUUUGCCGAAAAGUACCGCCCAGGGAAAGUUUAUAAGAACUCCUGAGAAGAGAGUUCUCGGGACGUGAAAACCGUUUGAAUCGCAUCGGAUGGAACUGAUGGUGCUUUUAUGACCAAUCAUCUCCCCU